UAGUCAUACGCUCGUCUCAAAGAUUAAGCCAUGCAUGUCUAAGUACAAGCACUUGUACUGUGAAACUGCGAAUGGCUCAUUAUAUCAGUUAUAGUUUAUUUGAUAGAUGCCUACUACAUGGAUAACCGUAGUAAUUCUAGAGCUAAUACAUGCAAAAAGGCCCGACUUUAUGGAAGGGCUGUAUUUAUUAGAUAGAAACCAUCACGGGAUCAAUCCCGGUGCUGUGGUGAGUCAUAAUAACUAAGCGAAUCGCAUGGCUUCGGCUGGCGAUGAAUCAU
rnacentral:rRNA from 1 species